rnacentral:rRNA from 1 species
AGGCUUAGAUACCCUGGUAGUCCACCCCGUAAACGUUGGGAACUAGUUGUGGGGACCAUUCCACGGUUUCCGUGACGCAGCUAACGCAUUAAGUUCCCCGCCUGGGGAGUACGGCCGCAAGGCUAAAACUCAAAGGAAUUGACGGGGACCCGCACAAGCGGCGGAGCAUGCGGAUUAAUUCGAUGCAACGCGAAGAACCUUACCAAGGCUUGACAUAUACGAGAACGGGCCAGAAAUGGUCAACUCUUUGGACACUCGUAAACAGGUGGUGCAUGGUUGUCGUCAGCUCGUGUCGUGAGAUGUUGGGUUAAGUCCCGCAACGAGCGCAACCCUCGUUCUAUGUUGCCAGCACGUAAUGGUGGGAACUCAUGGGAUACUGCCGGGGUCAACUCGGAGGAAGGUGGGGAUGACGUCAAAUCAUCAUGCCCCUUAUGUCUUGGGCUUCACGCAUGCUACAAUGGCCGGUACAAAGGGCUGCAAUACCGUGAGGUGGAGCGAAUCCCAAAAAGCCGGUCCCAGUUCGGAUUGAGGUCUGCAACUCGACCUCAUGAAGUCGGAGUCGCUAGUAAUCGCAGAUCAGCAACGCUGCGGUGAAUACGUUCCCGGGUCUUGUACACACCGCCCGUCAAGUCAUGAAAGU